ACCACUUAUUCUUACAAGGGGAAAAAAGAACUCGACUCCAGGACUAGGAGCCCUAGUCUGGAUAGAAAUGUGGGAUAACUUGGGAUUUGCUGAUCCGAAAACCAGCCACGAAGAAAAAUAAAAUUCCCCCCAGCAAAGCCAGUGCCAAACCAACUGAAAAUAUUUUCAAUCUGAGAUAAAAACAAUCAUAACACGGAUUGAAAAAA
rnacentral:lncRNA from 1 species